AGAGUUUGAUCCUGGCUCAGGAUGAACGCUAGCGGCAGGCUUAACACAUGCAAGUCGAGGGGCAGCACGAUGUAGCAAUACAUUGGUGGCGACCGGCGCACGGGUGCGUAACACGUAUGGAAUCUGCCUUGUACUGGGAGAUAGCCCGGAGAAAUCCGGAUUAAUAUCCCAUAAUAAGUUGAGUGGCAUCACUUGGCUUUGAAAGCUCCGGCGGUACAAGAUGACCAUGCGCACGAUUAGCUAGUUGGUGAGGUAACGGCUCACCAAGGCUACGAUCGUUAGGGGGCCUGAGAGGGUUAUCCCCCACACUGGUACUGAGACACGGACCAGACUCCUACGGGAGGCAGCAGUGAGGAAUAUUGCGCAAUGGAGGCAACUCUGACGCAGCCAUGCCGCGUGCAGGAAGAAGGCGCUACGCGUUGUAAACUGCUUUUAACCGGGAAGAAACCCCAGGACGUGUCCUGGGUUGACGGUACCGGAGGAAUAAGCACCGGCUAACUUCGUGCCAGCAGCCGCGGUAAUACGAAGGGUGCAAGCGUUAUCCGGAUUCAUUGGGUUUAAAGGGUGCGUAGGCGGGGCCAUAAGUCAGUGGUGAAAUCUUGCGGCUUAACCGUAAAAUUGCCAUUGAUACUGUGGUUCUUGAGUAUGCUCGACGUAGGCGGAAUGUGACGUGUAGCGGUGAAAUGCUAGAUAUGGCACAGAACACCGAUAGUGAAGACAGCUUACGAGGGCAAAACUGACGCUGAGGCACGAAAGCGUGGGGAUCGAACAGGAUUAGAUACCCUGGUAGUCCACGCCGUAAACGAUGAUCACUCGUGAUUGGCGACAUACGGUCAGUCACCUAGCGAAAGCGUUAAGUGAUCCACCUGGGGAGUACGAUCGCAAGAUUGAAACUCAAAGGAAUUGACGGGGGCCCGCACAAGCGGUGGAGCAUGUGGUUUAAUUCGAUGAUACGCGAGGAACCUUACCAGGGCUCGAACGCACGUAGACAGUCGCGGAAACGUGAUCUUCUUCGGACUGCGUGCGAGGUGCUGCAUGGCUGUCGUCAGCUCGUGCCGUGAGGUGUCGGGUUAAGUCCCAUAACGAGCGCAACCCCUACUGUUAGUUGCCAGCGGAUAAUGCCGGGGACUCUAACGGAACUGCCCGCGUAAGCGGUGAGGAAGGUGGGGACGACGUCAAGUCAUCACGGCCCUUACGUCCUGGGCU
rnacentral:rRNA from 1 species